CAGUAGUAAAGUGAAAGGCUUCUUGUUUAUUCUACAACAUCUAUCUGGCAUGGCUGGUAGUUGCUAGUUCUUUGUAUCAGGGAUAAUAUAGUCAAAUGGGCAGGAAAAAGAACUGGAUGCUUGCAAUAAGAAAAGCAAUCAGCGAGAACUGGAUUUAAGGAGGACAAGAAUUUCCAAGUUUUUUAAAUUCUGUAAUAGCCGACUGUUAUCAUGUCACCGAGUAUCUGGGAUUUGCUGCAUUUAAUAAAGCUAUGCAAGCUCAUGAUCUGCACACAGGUGUUGAUGUUUGUAUUAAAAUUAUAAAGAACAACAAGGAUUUCUUUGAUCAAAGCCUUGAUGAGAUCAAACUUCUCAAGUAUGUCAAUAAGCAUAUUC